rnacentral:rRNA from 1 species
AACGUAGGGGACAAGCGUUAUCCGGAUUUACUGGGCGUAAAGCGCCCGUAGGCGGCCUGACAAGUUGGACGUGAAAGCUCCUGGCUUAACUGGGAGAGGCCGUUCAAAACUGUCAAGCUAGAGUCUGGAAGAGGAGAGCGGAAUUCCCGGUGUAGUGGUGGAAUGCGUAGAGAUCGGGAGGAACACCAGCGGCGAAGGCGGCGCUCUGGGCCGGUACUGACACUGAGGAGCGAAAGCUAGGGUAGCGAACGGG